CUUGUGUUACACCUUGCCAACUCAUUGCUACAAAUACGCUCAAUAAACAUCUUAAUUGAAUUCCCAACUGAAAGAUAGAAAGGUAUACAACAUUACGAUGCUUGUUAACUGAUGCCAACUCAUUACGAUACUCUAACGCUGCUUUACAGGUACAAUUUUGGAAACGUAUGAAUCAAGAAUUACUUUAUUUUCCAUUCAACAAACUAUCAAAAUAUGGUUACAGCAUCCUGGAGAUAAAAUUAAUACCGCUGAAAAAAAACAAACAAAAGUAACACAGUCGUGAUGUCGAAGAAGAAUUGUAUUUCACAGUAUUAUUAUUUUUAUAGAAGUUAUAGCUUAUAUUGUAUUUUUUCUAUUUCUCGUAGUCAAGAAAUUUUAUCGAAACAUGUUACGAUAGUUUAGAUAUUUUAACUCCUCAGAAGUGGAGUUGCAAUAUGUGUACAAUAGUUUUUGCAAAGUGAAAAUAAUAAAAACUAUUGAAUAAA